GAGAAGGAGAAGAGCAGGAAGGAAAGAGCAGGCAAGGUCGCCAUACCAUACGUGAGAAGCGCUUGCACACACUGCCCCAAAGUACUCAAUGAAAGAAGCAUUCAAGCUGCUUCCCUCACCCCAGCAGGAUCACCUCAGUUGUGUGCUGGCAGAAGCUCAACCCUGAUCCUUUCAUCUGUGCCCCAAUCCUGAGGACGUUAUUCUGAUCUGAAAAUCCUGGCAGAAAAAGGAGGAGCUGGAUUUGAGUUAAGCCAAACAAUUUCAGUGAGAAUCCUGCACCUCCCAACUUUGGCCUUCAAGUCAAUCGGGUAUUUAGUUUGCCUGACCUUGCUGGAAAGCGGCUAUGGAUGCUAACUGCUUAGAUUGCAAGGUUGACAUCUUCCACAUUAAGAACAUUAUGGGACCAAGAGAAGAACUGCUAACAAAAUCAAGGAAGAAAGCAUAGGAGAACUACUGCAACUGGGGAGGAGCGCAAGUUACUCUGACAAGAAACAACAUUCAUUUAGGAAUUUGCAAAGCACAUCUCAAGCUGAUGGACAUUACUACUUGCAAGGAAACUCAGUCACUUGAUCACUUUAGUAGACUGCUACGGCCUUUAAAAACAUAUGUAGUCUGGAUUAACUCUUUGGGAAUGCAGAGGUGGAUUUGGUUUCCUUUCAAAAGGAAGAGAAAAUUGCAAAUUUAAAAACAAACAAGUAUUUAAAAACUAAGAAGGAAAGCAACUCUAUUCUAAGGGAGUUAGCUGAAAAGCCGAUUAAAAGACUUCUAGGUUUUAAACAAGUCAAGAGUACUGAAAAGCAGAGAGUAGCUUCUAGAUAGACAUGCAAGAAUGUUGAAUUAUUUCACUUUAAUUCUGAAAAAUGGUAAACUGAGGCAUUCAUAGCCACCACAAAAACUAGAGCUGAUAACUAUUAUUCUCCUUUGAAUACACUGUUGUUGAAAAUAGAAUCCAUGGUAUUAGAUUCUUUUAUCUUAGUCAUAUUCAGUGCAAGCUUACUUGGGAUAAAAUAUGUAAAGGUUACAAAGGAAUGCCAUCUCUCAUAAAAAUGAUUAUAAUUAAUAAAUCAGCAGCACACAAAGGACUCCUUGCAUCACUCCAUUCCCCCAACAAGUUCACUGUGUGCCACCCUCUCAUUCCCGUCUAUUUCAGGGAUGCCUCUAUUUCAGCAUCAUACUGGAGCAUGAUCCACAGACCGGAGCUCCUUUAUGGGUUUUUUUCAUUGGUUGUUCUUUGUUUCUGGUUUCCGAUUUCAUAGAGCUAUUUUUUUAAAAAAUGGGUUUUCAGCAGAGUUCUUUGGAUGAGCACAAAGGGCCCUAACUGCAUUAGCACCACAUGGAGUAGCCGAGUUUGGGGAGCACAUGCUGGAGAGGUGGGCAGUGGCAGCAGUUCAGUGGAUAAUUGGGGAUGGGACUGGUUGAUCUGUGUCUACAGAUCUAGCUAUUUCCCCACAAUGAGAGGGGCUGCAAAAGUGUGUGCAAAGUGUCACUCUGUGACCUUCUGGGAGAGAGGAUUCCUUCCCCCAAGCUUCAUGGCCCUGCUUAGCGCACAGGCUGUUUACCUGAGGGAUGUGCUAGGGCCAGAGUUGGUCCUUGCAGGGCAAGUGCUCAGCACUUUCUGAAAAUCAGGCCCCUUUAUGGCACAAAACACUUUUUAAAAUCAUGUCCAUUUUCUCGUUUCCGUUCAUGUAGGUUGGCACUCCCCAAGCUUCAUGUUUGAACAUCCCAACAUUUCAAAAGGGAAAAAAAAAAUCAGAGUUUCACCUGGUUUCAUGUCCAAGCUAUGGAAAAUUGAGAUUUUCUUGUUAUGAUGACAUAGGGUUGUGGUCUCUGACAUACAAAAAACCUGGGACAUCAUGAGCCCAUAAAACUGGACAGCUGGCAGUGUGUACCAAGCACCCUUACAGAUUCCCCUGGAUAGAUACCUCAAAAAAGGGAGGAUCUUGGGAAAACCUGGACAGGUGGCAGCCUUAUACAAAAGCCAUAAACAUGUCAUUCAAAAAGUUUUAGCGCCAGCAGAACCUUUCAGCCAAACAAGUCAGUUCCAUAAUCAGACUUAAAACCAGGCAAAUUUCAUUUCAGGUUCCACAGCUCUAAUUUCAUGAGAUAUGCGAGAUCUGUCUACAGUCACAGGGAGUACCAGUCCCUGAGUUGGACCCGAGUUGGACCCAAAUUGGACCCCUUUGCUGACUUUGGCCCUUGGGGUCCAAUUCAGUGCUUGCUGAAAUCAAUGGAAAGAUAUCAGUUGGCUUCAAUGGCCACUGGAUCAGGCCUUUGAUUGUCUUGCAGCAUAGUUUUAGAUCACCUUCACUUCACCAGACCUGCCUUCAUGUUUGCUGGGAACUUAAAUAUACAGCUUGCCAUCAUGGAUGUGCUUUUGACAUGUUAAGUUGCUAAGUGUUAGUUUUGUUGGGUCCUUCCAUAGAAGGUCAUCUUCUCAUAAGCCCCUGUUUUGUUCAGAUGUAAGUCACAUCUCAGUUACUGCACUACUGGAAGGCACCCAGAUAACAUGGUGAUGAGGAUGAUACAAGAGCAUGAGUAGAACUAGAAGAGCUAGUCAGUUCAGUCUUUGACACGUAUGAGGUUUACUAGAUAGUACUUUAAACUCAGUGGGAGUUUCAGCAGCUUAUAACUGUGCAGAAUUUUACCUCCAUCACUGUAAAAAGAAAGACCUUACAGCCUGAUUUCAGUGAUGCUUAGCACCUACAGCUGCCAUUGACUUCAGUGGGAGUUAUGGAUGGUCAGACCUACAGCAGGUAGAAAAACGUGAAACAUUUUUUGUGAAACUUUUCAUGAAAAAAGUCCAUGCUUUUUGCUGAAAAACAUUGAAAAUAGAAAAUUUUCAAAUAACUUGACUCAGAACCGCAGAUAAUCCGACCUUUAUGCUACAUGCUUUGACUUUCUUCUUGUUAAAGCACUGAUUCUGCCAAAAAAGAUGAUCUGUAUAGCUUUAACUGUAGUCUCUCUCUCUCUCUCUCUAUAUAUAUAUAUAUAUAUACAUACACACACACAGGAUUAGGAGACGAUAUUUACUGUCAAAGUACUUGAUAUGCUGCAGUGAUUGUAAAGCACAGAGUUAUUCCUGGGGCUCAGAUCCAAGGCAGAUAUUGGAGUAAACAAAGACUCCAGAAGUGACAUGAUUAUCUCAUCAAAGAGAAUUUGACAAGAUUCUUAGUUCUGAUCCUCUGUAUUUCUAGGUCCUAAAAUAGGGUUUUCAAGGCCAAAAAGGUGAAGACAUUUUCUGGAUAGGUCCCUCUCUCUUCUGUGAGAAACAGUUUUGUAUUCUAUCACUCCCAGUACCUGGAAUGGACUGAAACUAUCAGCACUGGCAAUGAGUCAAACAGCAUUAAUAAAGACAAUUGAUUCAAAGUGAUUUGUUUCAUGUUCAACUUUGUAGCUCAUUAUGACUCCUCAGUGAAACAAAAUAUUUUUCAUGUGUAUUUGUGAUUUUCAGCAAUGAUUUAGUUUGAUUAUGCAGUACAAUAUAGUCAUCAUUUUAAUCUCUCUUUGACAGCUAAAUCUAAAUUAAUACUCAGAAAAAUCUCAGUGAUAAUAUCAGAGUUGCCUCUGAAAGGGGGUAAGCAGAGCUCUGCAAGGCAACAAAUUUCACAUGAAUUAGAAUAAAGAAAGCAUAUUAAACCCAAAUAUAAUGUAAAUAUGUUGAAUCAUAUUAAAGAAGUUCUGUAUUAAAAUCACAAAUGAGUUUGAUUCCCCAGAGUUUAAAUUCCAGGGUAUUACUAAUUAAGAGGUCUCUUGGUUUUUGGUACUGUUUCUCUCCCUCUAUGUGUGAAACUUGCAAGCUGCUAAUUGCGUUAGUACAUUCUAAGACAGAGUCUGUUCUCAAAGCAAUUCGCACAGAGAGAGACUCAAAGCAAUACUCUGUAACAACAGAAACAGCACCCAGAGACUCCCCGCCCUUUUGCUGUAUUAACAAUUGUGAUUAAAAUAGAGAUAGAGGAUGUAGGUGGAUGAAUGCUUGGUGUGGAUAAUAACUGAAUGAUCAGGGAGGUGCCAGCCUAAGAAUCCAGUGUCCAUCAGCUGAAGAAGGCGUCAAGUGGAAAUAACCAGAGGACCGCCCGGAGGGCAGACUGGAAUCCAGCCAACAGCCUCAAGAAUGGGAGAACCAAAGAACAAGAUAACAUCUAGCAGCACGGAGCCGUCAGGAAUGUGCCAUCUGCUGAUUGAUUCAGCAACAGCAUGAUGAAGCAAUUCCCAUAGACUGGCAGAGGAAGAAAUUCCUAUAAAAAUGGACUCUAGAAAGUGAGAACUUUGGGGUCUGAUUCUGCAAACCAACUUCCAAGAGCAUCAGAUGUGCAUCUGACAAGGCCCUGCUCCCUCCUCAUGUCCAGGCCACCUGGCCAGUGGCUUGGCAUGAGCAACUCUAAGGCUGGUAACUAUGAUAACAACCUUGCAGAACCAGUGUGUGUGUGUUUGUAUGAAUGAAUGUGUGAAUAAAUAUGAGAUUGAAUGGAGUGUUAUAGCUAUAACUAACUACUUACUAUGAUUCUUUCUAUAUUCACAAUA